rnacentral:rRNA from 1 species
GUGAGGGGUACUCCAGGGGUAGGAGUGAAAUCCUGUAAUCCUUNGGGGACCACCUGUGGCGAAGGCGCCUCACCAGGACGGNUCCGACAGUGAGGGACGAAAGCUGGGGGAGCAAACCGGAUUAGAUACCCGGGUAGUCCCAGCCGUAAACGAUGUGCGUUAGGUGUAUCGGUGACCACGAGUCACCGAGGUGCCGAAGAGAAAUCGUGAAACGUACCGCCUGGGAAGUACGGUCGCAAGGCCGAAACUUAAAGGAAUUGGCGGGGGAGCACCACAACAGGUGGAGCCUGCGGUUUAAUCGGACUCAACGCCGGAAAACUCACCAGAUAAGACAGCUGAAUGAUAGUCGGGCUGAAGACUCUACUUGACUAGCUGAGAGGAGGUGCAUGGCCA